GGGUUGUGAGGUUAAGCGACUAAGCGUACACGGUGGAUGCCCUGGCAGUCAGAGGCGAUGAAGGGCGUGCUAAUCUGCGAUAAGCGCCGGUAAGGUGAUAUGAACCGUUAUAACCGGCGAUACCCGAAUGGGGAAACCCAGUGUGAUUCGUCACACUAUCAUUAACUGAAUC
rnacentral:rRNA from 3 species